rnacentral:rRNA from 1 species
UCGCUAGUAAUCGCGAAUCAGAAUGUCGCGGUGAAUACGUUCCCGGGCCUUGUACACACCGCCCGUCACACCAUGAGAGUCGAUAACACCCGAAGCCUGUGAGCUAACCUUUAGGAGGCAGCAGUCGAAGGUGGGGUUGAUGAUUGGGGUGAAGUCGUAACAAGGUAAC